rnacentral:rRNA from 1 species
UUGACAUGUCCGGAAUCCCGAAGAGAUUUGGGAGUGCUCGCAAGAGAACCGGAACACAGGUGCUGCAUGGCUGUCGUCAGCUCGUGUCGUGAGAUGUUGGUUAAGUCCCGCAACGAGCGCAACCCUUGUUCCAUUAGUUGCCAGUCAUUGGUUGGGCACUCUAAUGAGACUGCCGGUGACAAACCGGGAGGAAGGUGGGGAUGACGUCAAGUCCUCAUGGCCCUUAUGGGUAGGGCUUCACACGUCAUACAAUGGUCGGUACAGAGGGUUGCCAACCCGCGAGGGGGAGCUAAUCCCACAAAGCCGAUCGUAGUCCGGAUCGCAGUCUGCAACUCGACUGCGUGAAGUCGGAAUCGCUAGUAAUCGUGGAUCAGCAUGUCACGGUGAAUACGUUCCCGGGUCUU